UUCCGGUUGAUCCUGCCAGAGGUCACUGCUAUCGGUGUCCGAUUAAGCCAUGCGAGUCGAGAGGUGUAAGACCUCGGCAGACUGCUCAGUAACACGUGGAUAACCUGCCCAAGGGUCCGGGAUAACCCCGGGAAACUGGGGAUAAUACCGGAUGGGUCACCAGUGCUGGAAUGCUUGGUGGUCGAAAGGUGACGCCUUUGGAUGGGUCUGCGGCGGAUUAGGUUGACGCCGGAGUAACGUACCGGCGUGCCUGUAAUCCGUACGGGUUAUGGGAGCAAGAGCCCGGAGAUGGAUUCUGAGACACGAAUCCAGGCCCUACGGGGCGCAGCAGGCGCGAAAACUCUACAAUGCAGGCAACUGCGAUAGGGGGACAUCGAGUGGCAUCCACCUUGGGUGUCUGUCCAACCGUCUAAAAAACGGUUGUUAGCGAGGGCCGGGCAAGACCGGUGCCAGCCGCCGCGGUAAUACCGGCGGCUCGAGUGGUGGCCGAUAUUAUUGAGUCUAAAGGGUCCGUAGCCGGCUUUGCAAGUCCCCUGGGAAAUCCGGCGGCUUAACCGUUGGGCUUUCAUGGGAUACUACAUUGCUUGGGACUGGGAGAGGUAGGAGGUACUCGGGGGGUAGGGGUGAAAUCCUGUAAUCCUCCGGGGACCACCGGUGGCGAAGGCGUCCUACCAGAACAGGUCCGACGGUGAGGGACGAAAGCUAGGGGCACGAACCGGAUUAGAUACCCGGGUAGUCCUAGCCGUAAACGAUGCCCGCUAGGUGUCACGACGGUCGUGAAUCGUCGUGGUGCCGUAGGGAAGCCGCGAAGCGGGCCACUUGGGAAGUACGGCCGCAAGGCUGAAACUUAAAGGAAUUGGCGGG
rnacentral:rRNA from 1 species